rnacentral:lncRNA from 1 species
AGAAUGCCAUCUCCAGGAUGCCAAUGGGUUGUGUCUACAGUACUAUGUAGGAAAGUGCUGCAAGAGGGAUCACUCUUCUAUGCUGUGCUGGCCCAGACCCAGCCCUCUCCAGCCAGGAAACAUAAAAUACAGAAAGUCAUAAAACCCAGAAGUUUGAUUUGGUACCGUAAUGCCAUCACCCAUGGGGUGGCUCAUGAAAAUCUCCCAUUCAUGCUUCUUCACAUCUCUUUCUCUUUUGGCUGACUGAAAUACAGACAACUGCAGCAAUCUUGGAAGCCACAUAUUGAAGUUAACAGUCACAAAUGGAAAAACUUGGAUUUCUGCAUCAUCGCUUGGAUGAGAGCUUCUACCAAUCAGGACCUCUCACUUUGAAAUUUACAUGAGUGAGAAACAAAUGUCUAUUUUAUUAAGCCACUGAAAUGUUGAAGUUCAUCUGUUACCUCACUAGCACUGCUGUAAAACGUACAGGGAAGAUGGCUAGUGGCCUUAUUCCUUUAGUUGCAAUAUUGAAGAGGAAAAGGUAGUAAGGCAGAAGAAAGCCAGCAAUAUAAGCCUAACAGAAGAAAUCCAGGUGCCUUCUUUCAUCAUAGUGUAUGGAAUACAGAUGUUUCAGCAUAAUUAUUAAGAUAAAAAGACUGAGAUAAUUAGCACUCACAAAAGGAAGACAGGAAAGCUAUGAGGAUGCACCUGAUGCUGAAUAGAAGAAGGAGUACUCACUGCAGCUGUCAUUGAACUGAUUAUCUGAAGGCAAAGCAAUGCUAUUUUGUGCAAACAAUAUAUAAUACUUACGGAAUGGCAAUUAGAAUCACGAGUCCUUGCAUAAGUGAAUGGAGCUUGAUGGUGUUUACUCGAUUUUCAAUAGCUGGGGUAGUGAUAGAAAAAUAAGCCCUUCAAAGCACUUUGGAAAUUUCACUGUCAGGACAUUAAUGUCAAACUAAGUCCAAGAAACUGGGUAAAUCAGUAGAGAACUAAGGAAGAAAAUCUCACAGCUAGUAUUUGUGGGAGUUCUCCCCUGAGGGUCUUCCCCCAUCAUCUGUUUUCAUAGUAACUCCAGGUUUCCACGAUCUUUACAGAUGGCAUUCAUUUAACGUCAAAACACUUAAUGAAAAAAAAUCUACUAUGUAUACAGAAUGCACUACUUGCCAGAGCAUUUGAUACUAAUUCAGCACAUACAUGUGCAUUUUAACAACAAGUUAAUAGCAACACUAAUACACAGCAAUCAUUUACUGGGCAUUUUUUGCCACAAGAGUAAAACAGUUAAAAGUUAUGUCUUGGUAGCUCAAUUCUGCUACCAGAUCCAUUUCCAAAGCUCUUUAACAUGAGGACAGACACAUUACAAGCUGUUUUGUGGGACAUACCAUUCCCUUUUUUCCUUGGCAUUUUCUCCUAUAUUGAAAUUAGGAACACAACAAUAUUGGUGAUAACCACAACUAUUCUUAGUGUGACUUAAGUUGUGUCUUUGCUUUAAGCCAACCUCAAAUAUAUUUAAUUUGGAAAAUUAUAUUAUUUAUAAUAGCUAACAUGAAAUGCUUACUCUUUUAUGCAAUUAUUAUGCAACCCAAUUUCAGUAAUGCAUUUAAUUAACUAUACAUGGCUCAUUCUGUGGCAUAUUUUAUUGGGUUACAACAAUAAAUUUGUAUUUUAAAA